ACGGGUGAGUAAUGUCUGGGAAACUGCCUGAUGGAGGGGGAUAACUACUGGAAACGGUAGCUAAUACCGCAUGACGUCUUCGGACCAAAGUGGGGGACCUUCGGGCCUCACGCCAUCAGAUGUGCCCAGAUGGGAUUAGCUAGUAGGUGGGGUAAUGGCUCACCUAGGCAACGAUCUCUAGCUGGUCUGAGAGGAUGACCAGCCACACUGGAACUGAGACACGGUCCAGACUCCUACGGGAGGCAGCAGUGGGGAAUAUUGCACAAUGGGCGCAAGCCUGAUGCAGCCAUGCCGCGUGUAUGAAGAAGGCCUUCGGGUUGUAAGGUACUUUCAGCGAGGAGGAAGGCAUUGUGGUUAAUAACCACAGUGAUUGACGUUACUCGCAGAAGAAGCACCGGCUAACUCCGUGCCAGCAGCCGCGGUAAUACGGAGGGUGCAAGCGUUAAUCGGAAUUACUGGGCGUAAAGCGCACGCAGGCGGUUGAUUAAGUCAGAUGUGAAAUCCCCGAGCUUAACUUGGGAACUGCAUUUGAAACUGGUCGGCUAGAGUCUUGUAGAGGGGGGUAGAAUUCCAGGUGUAGC
rnacentral:rRNA from 1 species